UACGGAGGAUGCGAGCGUUAUCCGGAUUUAUUGGGUUUAAAGGGUGCGUAGGCGGGUUAUCAAGUCAGCGGUAAAAUCGUGGAGCUCAACUCCAUCCAGCCGUUGAAACUGAUGAUCUUGAGUGGGCGAGAAGUAUGCGGAACGCGUGGUGUAGCGGUGAAAUGCAUAGAUAUCACGCAGAACUCCGAUUGCGAAGGCAGCAUACCGGCGCCCGACUGACGCUGAAGCACGAAAGCGUGGGUAUCGAACAGG
rnacentral:rRNA from 1 species